rnacentral:hammerhead_ribozyme from 1 species
AUCAGCUGGCGAGUCCCAAACAGGACCAAGCGCGCGUCUUGGAU